GGGGGUGCCUGGUUUUGACAGCAUAGAUCUUUGAAAGUGUAAGCAUGCCGUGCGUUGGAUAAUUAGCACGUAAAUCUGAAUAUUCAAAACUCAAAUGGCAAUACUCAGUAUGCCAUGGCUGCCUAAUCAGUGAUUAGAUAGUCAUUUGGGCCGCCGGGCAGGUUAGUUCUGUUACCAAGCCCCGCCGCCGACUCAAAACAAAUACAGAAUGCUGCAACCGAAGGCUGUGACGGUUGCCUAAGACUAUCCAGCUAAGUAAUACAUCGGUUUGUUCUUUUCCUGUGUAUUGCCGACAAAUAAUAAGGAAAUAAGCAUGUAGAAAGCUUUCGGCGAAUAUGUUUGGACAGGGGUUCGACUCCCCUCACCUCCACCA
rnacentral:tmRNA from 1 species